rnacentral:rRNA from 1 species
UACGUAGGGUCCGAGCGUUGUCCGGAAUUAUUGGGCGUAAAGGGCUCGUAGGCGGUCUGUCGCGUCGGGAGUGAAAACUUACAGCUUAACUGUGAGCGUGCUUCCGAUACGGACAGACUUGAGGUAUUCAGGGGAGAACGGAAUUCCUGGUGUAGCGGUGAAAUGCGCAGAUAUCAGGAGGAACACCGGUGGCGAAGGCGGUUCUCUGGGAAUAUCCUGACGCUGAGGAGCGAAAGUGUGGGGAGCGAACAGG